AGCAGCCGCGGUAAUUCCAGCUCCAAUAGCGUAUAUUAAAGUUGCUGCAGUUAAAAAGCUCGUAGUUGAAUUUCGGGAUCAGUACGCUGGUCAUGCCUUUGGUAUGCACUGGUGUCACUGGUUUCUCCCUUCUGAAGAACCGUGAUGUCAUUAAUUUGGUGUCGCGGGGAAUCAGGACUGUUACUUUGAAAAAAUUAGAGUGUUUAAAGCAGGCUCACGCUUGAAUACAUUAGCAUGGAAUAAUGAAAUAGGACGUUUGACCCUAUUUUGUUGGUUUCUAGGAUCGACGUAAUGAUUAAUAGGGAUAGUUGGGGGCAUUAGUAUUCAAUUGUCAGAAGUGAAAUUCUUGGAUUCAUUGAAGACUAACUACUGCGAAAGCAUUUGCCAAGGAUGUUUUCAUUAAUCAAGAACGAAAGUUAGGGGAUCGAAGACGAUCAGAUACCGUCGUAGUCUUAACCAUAAACUAUGCCGACUAGGGAUCGGAUGAUGUUAAUUUUAUAAUGACU
rnacentral:rRNA from 1 species